CAUCGGCAAGCGCCCGCCGGCCGUCAAGGACCCCGGAAACCUCGCCGGAGCUCUCGGGCUCCGUUCUGGGCGAAACCGUGUGCUGCCCUGGGGAAGAGAUGCCCCGGGGCAGGGGGCCAGCAAGCUUCGAGAUGUGCGUGCCGCCAUCGUCGCCGCCGCCACUGCCAUUGAGUUCUCCUUGUGUCGGCUUUGAUUUGCCUGCCUGACACUUUGUGAAGAACCGCACAACUGCUACGGAUCGGAGAAGAGCUGCACAGAUGCCGCCUCCUGGGCUCCGUGGCCAUGGCCGGUGCCACGCGAGUUGCUGUCGUCGCCAGAGAAGGGGGGUCCUGGACGAAGGGGUGGGAGGGAAGGGGAUGAACCAUCAACUCCCGGGCGCGGCGCAGGGCUCCGGCGAGCAGUGGCGCCGGCGGCGGCCUCCUCGCAACGAGUGUGGUUUCUCCACCUGUGCCGGCCCGGGCAGGUCUGGCCAUAGCGCCUUGACGAGCAGGCAUUCUUCUCCACAAGCUCAACAAUGGAGUCUUCCUCCUCUUCUUAGAUCCGGAUUUUCCGGAAGUUGGUGAGGAGCCCCAAUGGCGGUUGGAAAAGAGGAACGGAGCCAUCGGAAAGAGCUGGUUCAGCGUAUUUCAAUCGACGAACCAGCAACGGGCCGGGAUUUGUUUCGAUUGAACCAGCAACGGCCCGUUCAUAGCUGCUACCAUUCAUGCUCCAAUCACACUUCAACCAUGGAGGCAUGGGGAAUCAAAUGGGUCUGUUCUAUUCCUAAUCGAUUUCCGAAACUAGGUUCCGAACCAUCUUGCACUGCAUCCACUGUUUGUUUUUACGAGUAUUUUUCUGUCUACAUUUCUUGUUUGUUCACAAGCAAAUCAGGUGCAGGAAUGACAUUCCAGGAUAUAUAUGGUAAUGAGAGCCGGCAGUGGAGUGUUGAACACUGCAGCUGAUGAGUUGAAUGAAAAAAAUGGUAGUAGCAGCGUAGAAGAAGGAUUAGACCUCCAAUGGAUAUUCAGGAGUUGUUUGGAUGUUGAAAGUUACCCUGUGGAACAUAACUCAUCUGUGGAAGCUGAAUCUUCCUCCAUUUGCGUGGGAGAUGGUGGCAGAAAGUCCAUAGGACUUUCGACAGGAGAGGAGGCUGCUGGCAACCAGAAUGAAUCAGUGCAGUUUGUCUUAGAAAUUGAACACGAAGGGAAUGAUUCUGCCCAACGCACAAUGAUCAGUACAGAAACUGUAGCUCAGCCAUGGCCUAAAGGUAAGAGGCUGCCUCAAGGCACCUAAAGGGUGCCCCCAAAGCUUAAUGGGUGCAAUCGAGAGGGCGCUACACAAUUCUUCAAAUAGAAAGGGUAAAUACACCUGGAAUGACUUUUGAUUGCGUGAGUGAAGCACAAAAGUUUUAUAAUAUAUAUAUUCUUGGGAGGAUGGAUUUGGUACAAAGGAGGAGGAUAAAUAUGGGAAAAUAAUGCAAGAAUUUCAAAGCCAGUACCAUGCAACCGAGUUGCUAAUGUUAAUGGAAGUAGUUGUGAGUAUGCUGCUACCGAAACAGAUUGUGAAUCCAUCGGAACUUGUAUGGUGCAGCAGGAUCUAGUGCUAGUUUGAGUGAAAAUUAGGCGUGGUGUUCAAAGGAUGAAUCGCUACAAGACAAGGAAUGAGAUAAUAAGGGAGAAAUUGAAGCAGUUAGGGAGGAAGGUUUGCAAGAAGAAGAAGAAAACAAGAAGUGUUGCAGCACCCGCGGGCUUGAUGACCAACAUGUCAGAAUGCGUAACAAAAAAAUGUUGGUAUUACUGAGACUGGGGAGUUCUGAUUUCAACUGAUGCUAGUAUCUGGACCUGAUGGUAGAUGGUGUUUUGGUAGUUGGACAUGCAAGAUUUGUAGUGCCUACAAUCCAUUUUGCAUGUAGGUCCCUUUGAUUGAUGGUUCAUGUAUUUGCGUGUGGAUGCCAAGUUAUUAUCUUUUUAUAUCACUACUAAAUGUAUUGUUGAGACAAUUUAAUAUACCACUGGCACGAUUCAAUGGAAAAUAUUUGGCACUGUUGACCAAUCUA